AGAUGUAAUCAUGUUAAGAUGAGGUCAUAGUGGAUGAGGGUGGGACCUAAUCCAAUGACUGAUGUCCUCAGAAGAGAAGAAGACACAUGGAAAAGACAAACAACCAUGCGAAGACAGAGGCAGAGAUUGAAGUGAUCUAGGGACAAGCCAAGGAAUGCCAAAGAUUGCUGGCAAUCACAAGAAACUGGAAAAGACAAGGAAGGUUCCUUCCUCCCCUCGAGUCUUCAGAGCAAAAGCAUGGCUUUGAUUUCAGACUUCCAGCCUCCAGAACUGUGAACAGAUGGGUGGAAUGACUUGACCACACAGCAAGCAGCAAAGAACAAACGGAAAUAGAACCCAAGGGUCUUGUGUCUUGAUUUCCUAUUCUCCCCAUUAAGUACAGGCCAAUAUCCUACACUCCUCCAGCAGAAGUGCUCUGAAAGAAGAAAGUUGCUAAAGGACCUCAGAAGAAAAAAAAGGAGCCUCAUGAAAGAAUGCUAAGGUUUCUUUGGGAAACCCAAUAGAUAAAACUCCAUACCGAGAGAUUAAGGAUUCUUAACCCAGGGUCCAGGAACAGGCUCAGGAAUCCAACAGGCCCUGACACCUGUUUCCUAAAUGAAUCAGUGAAUGCAUGAACUAGUUUACAAGACCUGGGUAUCGUCUCCAGCCAUCAAAAAAGAGACUUAAAUUGUUUUCAACCCCAGCAGCAGGCAGCUGGACUCACUGGGGAAUCAGACACUGGAAGAGGAAGCCUAAAUGCCUCUGAGGACUCACAGCAAAAAGCCUGACCGAUGUUGAAAAAAGAGGUGGUUCUGCAUAGUGGUAUACACUCGAGAGCUCUUAAGCCACUCCCAGGUCCUCAUCCCAGCUCCCCUCAUUUACCUGCUCUGUCACCUCAGGCACAUCCUUUACCCUCUCUGAACCUACUUCUGUAUCUGUGCUGAGACAAUGAGGAACGAAGACAAGAAAUUUUAAGAAAAAAUCAGGCACCAAUGACCCAAAUGCCGCCUCAAGAUUUUGUCUCAUGCCUGCAAAUGGCAUCGGGGAUGUUCUCCUACGGCCCUAAAUCCACAAAGGAGAGAUGUGACCCCCUGUUUGCUGGUCCUGAGGACUGCCACAAAAUCAAGCGUCCGGUCCCCACAGGAACGUGGAGCUAUUACAACCACAGGGGUUAUCUCAUUAUUUCAGAACCAUUUCCUAAUUCCUACCAAGCUGGGAGCUUCCAAAGAGCAGGCUGUGGGGUCUCAGACUUUUCCACACCUGAAUAUUACAUCAUCUGACAUGUUUGAGACUCACAACAGACUCCCCAGACAAAACUGAACCUCUAGGAGGUAAAGAAGCACUUCCCGAUAAAGACCCCAGCAGAAACAUUUGUUCCCCAUCAUAUGCCCAGCGUGAAACCCCCAAAAGUCACCGAGGAUGAAAGUCAAAGGAAGGAGGGAAGAAGGCUUUUUGCAGUGAGAAAAAAAAAAAAAUAGGGAAUCUAAAAAUCCUGGCGAUUGCAAGAGAAAGAAACAGUGCAAACCCUAAAGGAGACAGACCGAUCGUAUUUUUCUAUCCUGUGAUGAGACAGAAACCAUGAAUGAGGCUCAGCAGACUUUGCAUCCAGGAAACCCCUCAGCAGUAACAGCUCAGAGGCAGGGACAGAGGGAAGAUGGGUGUUCCUCCAGAUUGCUCCUGGGGGCUCACUGUCACAGCUAGAGGCAACUUCAGGCGGGCACCUAUGAGUCAAGAUUCAAGGACUGAGCCAUUUGGGGGGUGAUGUCCCUUUAAAUAAAGGAAGUAAGGCAGGGCUCCGCAGCUGUGGCUAUAAACGCUCUCUCCCAGCCUCUGUCAGAACCACCCACUGCUCUGGCAAGCUUGUGUCUCCAGCCCUGGUCACCCCUCCCGCUGGCUCAAAGCUGGCCUCAGAUUUUGAGGACUGGCUG